rnacentral:rRNA from 1 species
CUACGGGACGCAGCAGUGGGGAAUAUUGGACAAUGGGCGCAAGCCUGAUCCAGCAAUGCCGCGUGAGUGAAGACGGCCUUAGGGUUGUAAAACUCUUUCGCUAGGGAAGAUAAUGACUGUACCUAGUAAAGAAGUCCCGGCUAACUCCGUGCCAGCAGCCGCGGUAAUACGGAGGGGACUAGCGUUGUUCGGAAUUACUGGGCGUAAAGAGUUCGUGGGCGGACUGACAAGUUAGAGGUGAAAUCCCAGGGCUCAACCCUGGAACUGCCUUUAAAACUGUCAGUCUAGAGACCGGAAGAGGUUAGGGGAGUACCUAGUGUAGAGGUGAAAUUCGUAGAUAUUAGGUGGAACACCAGUGGCGAAGGCGCCUAACUGGUCCGGUACUGACGCUGAGGAACGAAAGCGUGGGGAGCAAACAGGAUUAGAUACCCGCGUAGUC